UACGGAGGGUGCGAGCGUUAAUCGGAAUUACUGGGCGUAAAGCGCGCGUAGGCGGUUUGUUAAGUCAGCUGUGAAAGCCCCGGGCUCAACCUGGGAACUGCAGUUGAUACUGACCGACUGGAGUACGAGGGAGGGAGGUAGAAUUCCAUGUGUAGCGGUGAAAUGCGUAGAUAUAUGGAGGAAUACCAGUGGCGAAGGCGGCCUCCUGGCUCGAUACUGACGCUGAGGUGCGAAAGCGUGGGGAUCAAACAGG
rnacentral:rRNA from 1 species